rnacentral:snRNA from 1 species
AUCUUCCUCCAGGGACAUCCGAUAAAAUUGGAAUGAUACAGAGAAGAUUAGCAUGGCCCAUGCCCAAGGAUGACACGCACAAAUGGAGAAAUGGUCCAAUUUUUU